UAGGAGAAUUACUGAAGUUUGGAUUGCUAUCUUGAUACUGCAAUAAGUGGCAAUGUCAAGGGUUCCCACCCCACCUCCUCCUGGAGAGAUGUCCAGUGGACCUGUGGCUGAAAGCUGGUGUUACACACAGGUUAAAGUAGUAAAAUUUUCCUAUAUGUGGACCAUUAAUAACUUCAGUUUUUGCCGAGAAGAAAUGGGUGAAGUUCUAAAGAGUUCUACCUUUUCAUCAGGGCCAAAUGACAAAAUGAAGUGGUGCCUGCGAGUGAAUCCAAAGGGAUUAGAUGAUGAAAGCAAAGACUACCUGUCAUUAUAUUUGCUUUUAGUCAGUUGUCCAAAAAGUGAAGUCAGAGCAAAAUUCAAAUUUUCCCUGCUGAAUGCUAAAAGAGAAGAAACAAAAGCAAUGGAAAGCCAAAGAGCGUAUCGAUUUGUGCAAGGCAAGGACUGGGGUUUUAAGAAAUUCAUCCGAAGAGAUUUUUUACUAGAUGAAGCUAAUGGUCUUCUACCAGAUGACAAGCUUACAUUAUUUUGUGAGGUAAGCGUGGUCCAAGACUCAGUAAAUAUAUCAGGACAGUCUAAUACAAACACUUUGAAGGUACCUGAAUGUCGACUAGCAGAAGAUUUAGGGAAUCUCUGGGAAACAACAAGAUUUACAGAUUGCAGUUUUUAUGUAGGAGGACAAGAAUUCAAAGCUCAUAAAUCUGUCCUUGCAGCACGAUCUCCAGUUUUUAAUGCAAUGUUUGAACAUGAAAUGGAGGAAAGCAAAAAGAAUCGUGUGGAAAUAAAUGAUGUAGACCCUGAAGUUUUCAAGGAAAUGAUGAGAUUCAUUUACACAGGAAAAGCACCAAACCUUGAAAAAAUGGCCGACAAUCUGUUGGCAGCUGCAGACAAAUAUGCACUGGAACGGCUGAAGGUGAUGUGUGAGGAAGCACUCUGUAGUAACCUCUCGGUAGAAAAUGUUGCUGACAUUCUUAUCCUCGCAGAUUUGCACAGCGCUGAACAGUUAAAAGCACAAGCAAUAGACUUUAUUAACAGGUGCAGUGUUCUUAGACAACUUGGGUGUAAAGAUGGGAAAAACUGGAAUAGCAACCAAGCAACAGACAUAAUGGAAACAGCAGGCUGGAAGUCCAUGAUCCACUCCCACCCUCACUUAGUAGCAGAGGCCUUUCGCGCACUAGCGUCUGCACAGUGUCCACAGUUUGGCAUUCCACGUAAACGGCUAAAACAGUCAUGAAAUCUUCCAUGAACUUUAGAGAAAUUGAAUUGACUCUACUCCUCCAUGUCCAGAGGUGUUUUCACAAACCAUAACAAGAGUUUUUGUUAUCCUUGUCCACAGAACAGAAGCUGAAAAAGCCUAUUGUUUGCUUUUCAGAGGGAUAAUUUAUGGUUUAAUCCUCAGCUUUAAAUUAGACUGAUUAAUUCACUGAAAGGCCUUAAAUUAUCUUCAAUGACUCUCUAGUCCAUAUAGUCUAAUGUAUCUUGAUUUUUUUUUUUUUUUUUUAAAAUGUGCCUUGUCUUUUUGACUAGGCUCUGCAGGAUUGCACUAGCUCCAUAAUGCAGUAAAGUUGAUAACUGAAGAUUAAUUUUUGAAAGGGAUCUUCCAUUAUUUUCAGAAGAAAAAAAAAUGAGUAUAGUUUGUGCUUGAGCCAGAGGUACAUAAUGUACCCUGCACAAGUGCUAAAUAUAGGGAGAGCCUGGUUACCUUCAGCAAAUGCCUACAGGCUAUUUAUGGCAAUAUACUGCUUUGAACAUAAUUUAUUUUUCAUUGUGGGGGCAAAUAUGCAAUGGUUUGGCCCAAAACUGUAUUUUCAUUACAGUUUGUAAUGCUUAUUGUGUGUGUGUCAAAGCUGUCCGAACGGUGAAAAGA